rnacentral:rRNA from 1 species
CCUGCAGGAAAGGACAUCAACCGAGACUCCGCAAGUAGUGGCGAGCGAACGCGGACCAGGCCAGUGGCAAUCAAAGUUAAAGCGGAACGAUCUGGAAAGUUUGGCCGUAGCGGGUGACAGCCCCGUACGCGUAGAUGCUUUGAUUGUCCUAGAGUAGGGCGGGACACGAGAAAUCCUGUCUGAACAUGGGGAGACCACUCUCCAAGCCUAAGUACUCGUGCAUGACCGAUAGCGAACAAGUACCGUGAGGGAAAGGUGAAAAGCACCCCGACAAGGGGAGUGAAAUAGAACCUGAAACCGGAUGCCUACAAACAGUCGGAGCCCGCAAGGGUGACGGCGUACCUUUUGUAUAAUGGGUCAACGACUUAGUGUAACAAGCAAGCUUAAGCCGGUAGGUGUAGGCGAAGCGAAAGCGAGUCUGAAUAGGGCGAUUUAGUUUGUUGCAUUAGACCCGAAACCGAGUGAUCUAGCCAUGAGCAGGUUGAAGGUUGGGUAACACCAACUGGAGGACCGAACCCGCAUCUGUUGCAAUAGAUUGGGAUGACUUGUGGCUAGGGGUGAAAGGCCAAUCAAACUCGGAAAUAGCUGGUUCUCCGCGAAAUCUAUUUAGGUAGAGCGUCGACCGAAUACCCCCGGGGGUAGAGCACUGGAUGGGCUAUGGGGACUCACCGUCUUACUGAUCCUAACCAAACUCCGAAUACCGGGGAGUACUAGUCGGCAGACACACGGCGGGUGCUAACGUCCGUCGUGAAAAGGGCAACAACCCUAACCUCCAGCUAAGGUCCCCAAGUCAUGGCUAAGUGGGAAAGGAUGUGAGGAUCCCAAAACAACCAGGAUGUUGGCUUAGAAGCAGCCAUCAUUUAAAGAAAGCGUAACAGCUCACUGGUCUAAAUAAGGGUCUUUGCGCCGAAAAUGUAACGGGGCUGAAGCCAUGCACCGAAGCUGAGGAUGUGUAGCAAUACACGUGGUAGCGGAGCGUUCCGUAAGCCUGUGAAGGGAUACCUGUGAGGGGUCCUGGAGGUAUCGGAAGUGCGAAUGUUGACAUGAGUAACGAUAAAGAGGGUGAGAGACCCUCUCGCCGAAAGACCAAGGGUUCCUGCUUAAAGUUAAUCUGAGCAGGGUUAGCCGGCCCCUAAGGCGAGGCAGAAAUGCGUAGUCGAUGGGAACCACGUUAAUAUUCGUGGGCCUGGUGGUAGUGACGGAUUGCUCAACUUGUUCAGACUUAUUGGAUUGUCUGGGCAGGGACGCGGUUCCAGGAAAUAGCUCCACCGUAUAGACCGUACCCGAAACCGACACAGGUGGUCAGGUAGAGUAUACCAAGGCGCUUGAGAGAACUAUGUUGAAGGAACUCGGCAAAUUGCACGCGUAACUUCGGAAGAAGCGUGACCCCAUGAUACGCAAGUAUGGUGGGGUGGCACAGACCAGGGGGUAGCGACUGUUUAUCAAAAACACAGGGCUCUGCGAAGUCGCAAGACGACGUAUAGGGUCUGACGCCUGCCCGGUGCUGGAAGGUUAAGAGGAGAGGUGCAAGCUUUGAAUCGAAGCCCCAGUAAACGGCGGCCGUAACUAUAACGGUCCUAAGGUAGCGAAAUUCCUUGUCGGGUAAGUUCCGACCUGCACGAAUGGCGUAACGACUUCCCCGCUGUCUCCAACAUAGACUCAGUGAAAUUGAAUUCCCCGUGAAGAUGCGGGGUUCCUGCGGUCAGACGGAAAGACCCCGUGCACCUUUACUAUAGCUUUACACUGGCAUUCGUGUCGGCAUGUGUAGGAUAGGUGGUAGGCUUUGAAGCGGGGACGCCAGUUUCCGUGGAGCCAUCCUUGAAAUACCACCCUUAUCGUCAUGGAUGUCUAACCGCGGUCCGUUAUCCGGAUCCGGGACAGUGUAU